rnacentral:snRNA from 1 species
GUGGUUGCUUCAAACGUACAUAUACUAAAAUUAGAACCAUACAGAGAAGAUUAGCAUAGCCCUGUGUAAAAAUGCAUAUAGAUUCAGGCAGUGUUCCAUAUUUUU